UAAUAAAAUAGUAGUCACAUUGACACUACAUGUACUUCGGUAGUAGAGCAUGAUUUUCCUAUGAUGGCACGUUAUCGUCAUUUUAACAAGUGAAUUAAAGUGAAAAUCGGUGAUGUUGAGUGUUAAUUUUGUGCUGCAAGACAUUUUCCAAAAGAGUAUUGUGUUCUACGUCAAACGUCGAUUGAUGAAAUUUUGCCAGGAUAAUAUGAUUCAGGAUGAUCAAUGACAGUCAUGGGAAUUGCGGAGUUCGUUCUUCUGGCCCGUUUACCUUUUCCCCAAGUAACACACUCGUCUCCACGACACUCGAAUUGAUUUCCUCGAAACGUUAUUUGUUCCUGUUUCCUUUUUUUCGCGCCCUUAGAGCCACCCGCUUCUCCGUCACUUUGUUACCAUGUCCGACAAAUCAACUUCAUCGAG